rnacentral:tRNA from 1 species
GCUGCUGUGGUGGAACUGGUAGACACGUUGGACUUAAAAUCCAAUGGACAGUAAUGUCCGUGCCGGUUCGAUUCCGGCCAGCAGUA